rnacentral:rRNA from 1 species
AGAGUUUGAUCAUGGCUCAGAUUGAACGCUGGCGGCAGGCUUAACACAUGCAAGUCGAGCGGGGAAAGGUAGCUUGCUACCUUACCUAGCGGCGGACGGGUGAGUAAUGCUUAGGAAUCUGCCUAUUAGUGGGGGACAACAUUUCGAAAGGAAUGCUAAUACCGCAUACGCCCUACGGGGGAAAGCAGGGGACCUUCGGGCCUUGCGCUAAUAGAUGAGCCUAAGUCGGAUUAGCUAGUUGGUGGGGUAAAGGCCUACCAAGGCGACGAUCUGUAGCGGGUCUGAGAGGAUGAUCCGCCACACUGGGACUGAGACACGGCCCAGACUCCUACGGGAGGCAGCAGUGGGGAAUAUUGGACAAUGGGGGGAACCCUGAUCCAGCCAUGCCGCGUGUGUGAAGAAGGCCUUUUGGUUGUAAAGCACUUUAAGCGAGGAGGAGGCUACCGAGAUUAAUACUCUUGGAUAGUGGACGUUACUCGCAGAAUAAGCACCGGCUAACUCUGUGCCAGCAGCCGCGGUAAUACAGAGGGUGCAAGCGUUAAUCGGAUUUACUGGGCGUAAAGCGCGCGUAGGUGGCCAAUUAAGUCAAAUGUGAAAUCCCCGAGCUUAACUUGGGAAUUACAUUCGAUACUGGUUGGGCUAGAGUAUGGGAGAGGAUG